rnacentral:ncRNA from 1 species
CAGAGUAGGACACUCGGCGUAAAGUGCCGCGCGGACGGGGAGUUGCCGUGCGGACGAAGGCGUUUCGCCGCGGUCGGGCGUCCGCAUCCCGCUG